CCUAUAGCUUAGUCGGUAGAGCGUCGUGCUAAUAACGCGAAGGUCGUGGGUUCGAUCCCCACUGGGAC
rnacentral:tRNA from 1 species